GAGAAGCUGGCAGUUGGAUCACCUGACUCUUUAGAAUAGGCCUGCAGCGACGCGUCGAUGACUCGGUUCUAAAAAAACGUUGACGUCAAAUCCAGUAGUCGACACAUCACGCCCACUCACCAGACGCAUGCGGGCGACCAAAAAAAAGCAGCAUGGAUAACGAAACUCCGUCCACUUCUCAGGUUCAGCAGCCUGCACUCCCAAGCAAUACAUGUCAUCAAAAAAACAACUCGCCGUCCUAUCUCAAAGGUGUGGGAAUAUUUUAAACACAGCCAGAAACGUAACAGUAUAGUUAAAUGCAGUCUUUGCAAGAUGGAGCUAGCAUACCACACCAGCACGACUUCCAUGUGGGAGCAUCUGAAGCGAAGGCACCCCAUUGUUACUCGUGACGCCAGAGAACAGAAACCACUCAUUGUUACCAGUCAACCUAAUCAACAGUAAACUCCUAAUUUUGUGUAUAAGUCAGUGCUCUGGAUUUGCUGAACUGCUGCUGUCAGACAGACCUUAAGAGAGAGAGAGAGGAGGAGGAGGAGGAGUACAGCAGGUCAUACAGGAGGAAGCGUCGAUCUUCUCCAUGAGGAGACUGCAGAGAGACACGUGAUUUCAAGAGGCAGGGUUAAGUGCUUUUUGUUCAACUACUGAGUUCACAAUGACCAAAGAAUAGUUUAGCUUAAAGGAAUAGUUCAGUAUAUGAAACUCAUAAUUUUCUCCCCCUCAUGUCGUCCCAAACACAUAUGAGUUUCUGCCAACUCUUGAGGAAAACCUUUUUGAUAUAACAGUUCAUAGUAACCAUAAAGCUCAAAGAGGAA